AGAGUUUGAUCCUGGCUCAGGAUGAACGCUAGCGGCAGGCUUAACACAUGCAAGUAGAGGGGUAACAGGGAUUGCUUGCAAUCCGCUGACGACCGGCGCACGGGUGCGUAACGCGUAUGCAACCUACCUUCUACAGGGGGAUAGUCAAUAGAAAUGUUGAAUAAUACCCCAUACGAUCUUUGAAUAGCAUUAUUUAAAGAAGAAAGUUCCGGCGGUAGAAGAUGGGCAUGCGUCCUAUUAGUUAGUUGGAGAGGUAACGGCUCCCCAAGACAUCGAUAGGUAGGGGUCCUGAGAGGGAGACCCCCCACACUGGUACUGAGACACGGACCAGACUCCUACGGGAGGCAGCAGUGAGGAAUAUUGGACAAUGGAGGCAACUCUGAUCCAGCCAUGCCGCGUGCAGGAAGACUGCCCUAUGGGUUGUAAACUGCUUUUAUACAGAAAGAAAUGUACCUACGUGUAGGUAUUUGACGGUACUGUACGAAUAAGGAUCGGCUAACUCCGUGCCAGCAGCCGCGGUAAUAAGGGCGA
rnacentral:rRNA from 1 species